ensembl:lncRNA
AUGCUACUGUCUGCCGAGCGCUCCGGCCACAGACCCUCUUGCCUGAAAAAGGGCUGGUGUCAGACAGGUGUCCGAAGGGCUGUCACUGACGAGGGGAGCCCGUCUCCUGGACGCGUGGGACGCGUGGGACGUGUGGGACGAUCGGCGGGUGGGACAGGAAGGGGAGAGAAGCCGGCUCCCGCUGCGACUCACUGUUGUCCCCGUGCUUGUUCAGGCCCUGUCUCCAUCACCCACCCCAGGGAAACACUGUCCCCGAGGCCCCCCGGGGAGCCUGGGCUCCUGGCCCUCCGCGUGGGCCCCACCAAACCCAGGGUCAUAUUGGACAGUCUCCUCACCGGGGACCCUCCUCCAGGACUCAUCCACAGGUGCAAUUUGAAAGUCGAUCACCACCGUCUGGUGUCACCUCCGGAGGCACCCCAGGAAACCGAGAUGUGUAAGCUCCUGCCGACCGGCACACCCUCUCUCCGUGUUCGCCCGCUGGAUUUGCGCACAUCUCACAUCUCCUCGUACGAUCAGAAGCAAAGAGAGAGGGAGAAGCAUUCCCCGCGUCCCAAGACAAGUUGAUGGUCACACCAGAAGUGCCCCUGACGCUCCACAGGCAGCAGAUGGGGCGUCGUGUUCUUUUUAGGAGCCGCUCCUAACUGAACAGGUCACUGCUCAGAGAAGCUGCUGUGACACUUUAGUUUCUGGUGGAGAAAGAAGGAGUCCGGGCUUUCCUGCCCGACUAGACGGCCGUGUGAUCUGAGGACGUCACUUGAGGACACCCAGGGCACCAAAGUUCCAGGAAAGUCCGACUCAGCAGAGACGGGGGAAGGCCCCUCUCUGCAGCUCCACGGCACAGGUACUCCGGGACCCGCCGGAUGGCAGGUGCCAGGCUCCCGCAACCCGUGGGGUCCAGCCCUUGUCGAGACCCAGGGCCUCGGCCGCCCGGCGCUUCCCUGGAAGGAUCACUUGACUUUCGUUGGGAUCCACUUGUGCGGUCCUUCUCCGUUCGCUUCCACAGAGGCAAAUGUCUGCCAGCGGGAGGGCUUCUGGAACUGCCCAGGCCUGCCCAGGGCCUGCCCUGUCGGACUGGGGUGGAGGUGGGGUCAGAAGGUCUGUUUGGCAGAGACCUCACAUUCCAGAAUGACCUCAUGGUAGGUGAGUUGUGAUUUCAGCCUCACCGAUCCGCACGCGGGGCCUCCCGACGAGGCCUUGGGGAGUCCAGCCUUCCCGCUCGCCGUGGUGCCCACCCAGGUAACGCGCGUCAUUUGUGAAUCCUGUUAAUUGGCCUGACUAGGAAGACGGUAUCGCAGCGAGGGUGUUUUUGUGUCGGAAACGCUUAAAGCAAACAUUCAAAUUAUCAACAAUUAUUUGUACGCCUGCUUGGGCACUUCUUCAUGUUUGAUUUUGUUGGAAACCUCAGCAAAUGGAGUGGGCGGGACCUUUCCCGCCACCGAGGCACUGCCCGGGGCAUCUCUGCCCCUACGGCCACAGGAAGGGAUGACACAGGAUGCAGGGGGCCGGGGCCUCUGCUUCUCCGUGGGGCUGGGUGGUCUGCCCCGUGCCCUUCCGGCCCCAGCCC